rnacentral:rRNA from 1 species
CCUACGGGAGGCAGCAGUGAGGAAUAUUGGUCAAUGGGCUUACGCCUGAACCAGCCAAGUCGCGUGAGGGAAGACUGCCCUAUGGGUUGUAAACCCCUUUUGCCAGGGAGAAACGCCGGCUACGUGUAGCCGGACUGAGAGUACCUGAAGAAAAAGCAACGGCUAACUCAGUGCCAGCAGCCGCGGUAAUUCGGAGGAUGCGAGCGUUAUCUGGAUUUAUUGGGUUUAAAGGGUGCGUAGGCGGACUGCCAAGUCAGCGGUAAAAUCGCGGGGCUCAACCUCGCUCCGACGUUGAAACUGGCAGUCUUGAGUGGGCGAGAGGUAUGCGGAAUGCGUGGUGUAGCGGUGAAAUGCGUAGAUAUCACGCGGAACUCCGAUUGCGAAGGCAGCAUACCGGCGCCCAACUGACGCUGAAGCACGAAAGCGUGGGUAUCGAACAGGAUUAGAUACCCCAGUAGUC